GAUCAAAUCAAGCGCGAGAAGGGCGUUUGGUGGAUGCCUUGGCAGUAAGAGGCGAUGAAGGACGUGAUACUCUGCGAUAAGCUUUGGUGAGCCGAGAAUAGGCUUUGACCCAAAGAUCUCCGAAUGGGGCAACCCACCUGAUACUCUGCUAUUGUUACCCUUCGGGGUGAUCAAUAGUUGGGUAAACCAGGUACUUUCAGACUGAAUACAUAGGUUUGAAAGAGCAAACCCGGGGAACUGAAACAUCUAAGUACCCGGAGGAAAGGAAAUCAACAGAUACUCCCCUAGUAGCGGCGAGCGAACGGGGACCAGCCGAGCCAUGAAUGUGACCAGAACUGUCUGGAAAGGCAGGCCAUAGCGGGUGACAGCCCCGUAUGGGAAGCAUGAUUGGACGUAUCAAGUAGGGCGGGACACGUGAAAUCCUGUCUGAACAUGGGGGGACCACCCUCUAAGGCUAAGUACUCCUUACUGACCGAUAGCGAACCAGUACCGUGAGGGAAAGGUGAAAAGCACCCCGACGAGGGGAGUGAAACAGUUUCUGAAACCGGACGCCUACAAUCAGUCGGAGGGGCCUCGAGCCCUGACGGCGUACCUUUUGUAUAAUGGGUCAUCGACUUGGUCUCACGAGCAAGCUUAAGCCGUUAGGUGUAGGCGCAGCGAAAGCGAGUCUUAAAUGGGCGUCGAGUUCGUGGGAUCAGACCCGAAACCGAGUGAUCUAGGCAUGACCAGGAU
rnacentral:rRNA from 1 species